rnacentral:rRNA from 1 species
GGUUGCGAUCAUACCAGCACUAAUGCACCGGAUCCCAUCAGAACUCCGUAGUUAAGCGUGCUUGGGCGAGAGUAGUACUAGGAUGGGUGACCCCUUGGGAAGUCCUCGUGUUGCAACCCC